UUUUGAUUUCAUAACACUAGAUGGCGCCAGACCGCCAUCAGGUCCGACCAGGUUUUCCUCUGGCUCAGUGUUGUGUUUGUUUCUAUGGAGGGAUGCUGUCAGGGCCGUAACCGGAGCGUAGACUUUACUGAGGCCCGCAAUUUCUACUGCUGGAUAGCAUAUCAGCUGCACUGACUUCUCAUAUUCUUCAAGCUGCUGGACGCCUUGCAGUUUGCUUACCAGGAGAAGGUGGGUGUGGAAGAUGCCGUUCCUUUUGUGCUGCACAUCUGGUGCUGUGAGGAUCAGGUGUUUUCUAUUUCAACAAUAUCCAACCACUCCUAGAGACAAACUAACUGAGAUGGAGUGGACCCAGACCUCUUCUGAAACAGUGACCAGCACAGGACACAGUGUGCUCUCCUGCCUCUUUCACCUUGUACUCUUCAGACCUCAAAUACAAAUCACAGUCAUGGAGAAGGUUCAGAUGGGCAAAGAAAUGUCAUGGUCCAUGGUUGAUCACACCUCUUAGUAUCUUUAUCUUUAGUUUCUUUCAGUUAAUGUUUUUAUUCUGUUUAGUUUCUUGCUAUUUCCUUAGUCUUUCCUCCGUGCCCAUCUGUGUCAAGCUUGUAUGUUUAGCUUUCAGUUUUACUUUCUCUGGUCUCAUUUACCCUGUCUACUUUUAUUGGCUCUGUGCAUUGUUUCUCAGCUCUGAUCACUUCCAGUUCAGUAGUUAUUCUUUGUCAGUGUCAGUGUUUUUCUGCCAGUUAGUUUUCUGUCUGUUUUCCUGCUCUUUUGUUACCCUUCGGACAGUUUCUUCGUUUGGGGAUCCUCUUUCACAACUCAUGAUAAGCAUCCCUGGACCAUCACGCUACAACCACCAUGUUUGAUUGUUGGUGUAAUGUUCCUUUAACCUCCUAAGACCCGAACUCUUCCACUGCAUGCAUUUUUAAUUUCUCUUUGAUAUUUGGUCACAUUGGGGCCUGAUGAAUGUAAAAACAAAGAAUUACCAGAUUUUUUUUUAAAACUUAUUUUUGUUUUUAAGAAAAAUGAGAGCCACAAAUGAGGAUAUUCGUUUAAAAUUUUGAUAGAACAGUAGCACUAUAAUGUCCUCGUAAGUGGAUAUCAGGCCCUUGUAGAGCAAAACUGAGUAUUUAGGUCAUUUAUUAUUUAGGUUAUUUAUUUAAUCAGGUCCUAGGAGGUUAUUGAAAUGCUGUGUUAGUUUUAUGUAACAGGACUCAAAAGUUCCAAAAAGUUCAACUUUUGUCUCGUCGUUCCACAGGUUAUUUUCGCAAACGUCUUGGGGCUCAUCAGGAAGUCUUUUAGCAAAUAUGAGAUCAGCCUCUGUGUUCUUUUUGAUCAGAAGUGUCUUCUCUUCAGCUACCUCUCCUCCUUCAGAAUUACAGCAUCCACUUCUGGCUGCUUUGUUUGAACAUUAAGAGAAUUGACACAAAGUCAAAACAAAGCUGGGAGCUAGCCAGAAGCUGUACACAAACAGUACCAGACCUGCAGUGCUGGAGCAAAUCUGCCUCUUUUAAUAAUAAAGUUACUUAUGUCCUUUUUUCAUAUUAAAUCUACAUGUGACUUUUUCCAUCACCAGGAUCUCUUCAACCAGCAACCCAAGUCUAUAGCUCAGUGUUUCAGUCCUUAGCAAGUUUUUAGUUACAUUUUUCUUUGCCUCUGCCAGAGGAUUCUUAAACAGGUCUUUUGGAUGCACAUGUCCUUGCACACGAUCGUGAAAUCGUAUAACUAAAUAUUCCACUCUUGAACUUUAUCUGUUUACUUUUAAUUUGAGAUCUUACAAAAUACUCAACCUGGUUCUUUCAGCUAAAUUGCAUCA
ensembl:lncRNA